rnacentral:rRNA from 1 species
AAGCGGAGGAAAAGAAACCAACAGGGAUUGCCCUAGUAACGGCGAGUGAAGCGGCAACAGCUCAAAUUUGAAAUCUGGCCUCGGCCCGAGUUGUAAUUUGCAGAGGAUGCUUCUGGCGCGGUGCCUUCCGAGUUCCCUGGAACGGGACGCCACAGAGGGUGAGAGCCCCGUAUGGUUGGACACCAAGCCUGUGUGAAGCUCCUUCGACGAGUCGAGUAGUUUGGGAAUGCUGCUCUAAAUGGGAGGUAAAUCUCUUCUAAAGCUAAAUACCGGCCAGAGACCGAUAGCGCACAAGUAGAGUGAUCGAAAGAUGAAAAGCACCUUGAAAAGGGGGUUAAAUAGUACGUGAAAUUGUUGAAAGGGAAGCACUUAUGACCAGACUUGGGCCGGGCGGCUCAUCAGGGGUUCUCCCCUGUGCACUCCGCCCGGCACAGGCCAGCAUCGGUUUUCGCGGGGGGAUAAGACCGCCGGGAACGUAGCACCCUCCGGGGUGUGUUAUAGCCCGGCGGACGAUACCCUCGCGGGGACCGAGGUCCGCGCUCCGCAAGGAUGCUGGCGUAAUGGUCAUCAGUGACCCGUCUUGAAACACGGACCAAGGAGUCGUCCAUUAGAGCGAGCGUUUGGGUGUAAAACCCGCACGCGUAAUGAAAGUGAACGCAGGUGAGAGCUUCGGCGCAUCAUCGACCGAUCCUGAUGUUCUCGGAAGGAUUUGAGUAAGAGUUUUAACGGACGGACCCGAAAGACAGUGAACUAUGCUUGUAUAGGGUGAAGCCAGAGGAAACUCUGGUGGAGGCUCGCAGCGGUUCUGACGUGCAAAUCGAUCGUCAAAUAUGAGCAUGGGGGCGAAAGACUAAUCGAACUGUCUAGUAG